AUGGAUCCUUCCGCGGCGACCGACGCUUCCUCCUCCGCCGCCGGCACCGAAGCCAUGGCUGGGAUGAGCAUGAGCCUGGACGAGCGGCUCGACCUGCUGAUGAGCAUCGGGGAGGAGUGCAUCCAGGAAGACGAGCUCAGGCAGCUGCUGCAGCACAAGCCCGUGCCCGUCUGCUACGACGGAUUCGAGCCCUCCGGCCGCAUGCACAUCGCCCAGGGUAUUGUCAAGACAAUUAACGUUAACAAGAUGAUCAGAGCGGGAUGUAAAGUGAAAAUCUGGAUAGCAGACUGGUUUGCGCAACUAAACAACAAGAUGGGCGGCGACCUGGAGAAAAUCCAGGCCGUCGGGCGCUACAUGAUCGAAAUAUGGAAAGCGGCCGGUAUGAACCUCGACGGCGUUGAAUUCCUAUGGUCUUCGGAAGAAAUCAAUAAGCGUGCAAGUGAAUACUGGCCACUUGUAAUGGACAUUGCCAGGAGAAAUAAAGUCAAACGAAUAACAAGGUGUUGUACGAUUAUGGGCCGCGCUGACAGUGAGGACCUAACUGCUGCACAGAUCUUCUAUCCUUGCAUGCAGUGUGCUGACAUAUUCUUCCUGAAGGCAGACAUAUGUCAGUUGGGCAUGGACCAAAGGAAGGUAAACAUGUUAGCAAGGGAAUACUGCGAUGACAUCAAAAGGAAGAACAAACCAAUUAUUCUGUCACAUCAUAUGCUCCCCGGUUUCAAACAAGGCCAGGAGAAGAUGUCAAAAAGUGAUCCAACAUCGGCCAUCUUUAUGGAAGAUGAUGAGGCUCAGGUAAAAUUGAAGAUAAAUCAAGCUUUCUGCCCUCCUCCUCCUCCUCCCAACACUGUUGAUGAAAAUUCCAACAUUGUUGACGGAAAUCCAUGCCUAGAGUACAUCAAAUACAUUGUUUUUCCUUGGUUUGACAAGUUUGAGGUGGUUCGGAGAGAAAGAAAUGGCGGUAACAAAACAUUUUUAAGCAUGGAUGAACUCAUUGUUGAUUAUACGAGUGGUGCUUUGCAUCCCGCUGACGUUAAAACUUCUUUGGCUAAAGCAAUCAAUGAAAUAUUGAAGUUUGUGUCAUUCCUUCCUGACAAAUAG
rnacentral:rRNA from 1 species